CGAAUUUAUUCUGAGCGUAAGGAGUUGCUAGAAGAAAACAUUAUCAUGAAUUCCAAAUUUAUUCUUAUUGCGUGUGUUCUAGUCAUUUUCGUUGCAUUUGCUUCAGGUACUACUAAGACAUUCGGAGCAUGUUCGUGCAAAUGUUGGAACAGUUACUGUGAACAUCCAACAUCAUCAGAAACGUGUGAUCAGUGUGCCAAGUCAAUUUCUGGAAUUGAUGGAAGAACAAGCAUGGAUGGAGGUUUUUGCUGGAUCAAAAUUGGAGAUGUUGGCCUUGGUAACUGUGCUGAAAAAUGUCUUACACUUUUUGGAGGAUGUUCCCACUAUAAUGGAUAUGAACACUACACAUAUGGUAAUAUGUGCUGGUGCAAAUGGAGCCAAUAAUUAAUUAUAUCAACAAACACUGCCCUGCUCUUUCUACAACGUAAAAAUAUUGAUAAUUCUAAAGUUUCCCAUUUUUCGUUUGUCAUUAAAUAAAUGUUUUUCAAAC